rnacentral:rRNA from 1 species
UACGGGGGGGGCAAGCGUUGUUCGGAAUUACUGGGCGUAAAGGGCUCGUAGGUGGCCAACUAAGUCAGACGUGAAAUCCCCAGGCUCAACUUGGGAACUGCGUCUGAUACUGGAUGGCUUGAAUUCGGGAGAGGGAUGCAGAAUUCCAGGUGUAGCGGUGAAAUGCGUAGAUAUCUGGAGGAACACCGGUGGCGAAGGCGGCAUCCUGGACCGGGAUUGACGCUGAUGCGCGAAAGCCAGGGGAGCAAACGGG